rnacentral:rRNA from 1 species
CAAUAGCGUAUAUUAAAGUUGUUGCAGUUAAAAAGCUCGUAGUUGGAUUUCUGGUCGGAAGCUCCUGUCCUCUGAUGAGCGUACAAGUGCGUCCUACCAUCCUUCUGUUAACCUUUAAGGCUUUCGCGGCUUUCUAGGGGCUCAGAUAUUUUACCUUGAGAAAAUUAGAGUGUUUCAGGCAGGCUAGCGCCGGAAUACAUUAGCAUGGAAUAAUGGAAUAGGACUUUUGCCUCUUCUGUUGGUCAUGAGGCUCGAGUAAUGAUUAAUAGGGAUAGUUGGGGGCAUUAGUACUUAAUUGUCAGAGGUGAAAUUCUCGGAUUUGUUAAAGACUAACUUAUGCGAAAGCAUUUGCCAAGGAUGUUUUCAUUAA